AAUAUUUGCAAAGCUCCAGGUGCCUCGGUUUGAAAAACUGAGGAUAAUAGGGAAUCAGGUGUAAGUCCUGAGCGGUGGGGCCACUGUAAAUGGUUAGCUAUUCCAAAGACCACUGGAUGGUAGCAUCCGGGAAGGUGGAAUCCAGUAACGAGCCAUGAGCCAGUAGACCUGCCUGGAGUUUCAACUUGAG
rnacentral:ncRNA from 2 species